CCUACGGGUGGCUGCAGUGGGGAAUAUUGGGCAAUGGGGGAAACCCUGAUCCAGCGACGCCGCGUGAGUGAAGAAGUAUUUCGGUAUGUAAAGCUCUAUCAGCAGGGAAGAAAAUAACUGUACCUGACUAAGAAGCUCCGGCUAACUACGUGCCAGCAGCCGCGGGAAUACGUAGGGGGGAAGCGUGAUCGGGAUUUACUGGGUGUAAAGGGAGCGUAGACGGUGCAGCAAGUCUGAUGUGAAAGGUCGGGGCUCAACCGCGGGAAUGCAUUGGAAACUGUUGAACUGUAGUACAGGAGAGGUAAGCGGAAUUCCAAGUGUAGCGGUGAAAUGCGUAGAUAUUAGGAGGAACACCAGUGGCGAAGGCGGCUUACUGGACUGUAACUGACGUUGAGGCUCGAAAGCGUGGGGAGCAAACAGGAUUAGAUACCCCAGUAGUC
rnacentral:rRNA from 1 species